rnacentral:rRNA from 1 species
UGCAGUCGAGCGGAGUGAUGGUGCUUGCACUAUCACUUAGCGGCGGACGGGUGAGUAAUGCUUAGGAAUCUGCCUAUUAGUGGGGGACAACAUUUCGAAAGGAAUGCUAAUACCGCAUACGUCCUACGGGAGAAAGCAGGGGAUCUUCGGACCUUGCGCUAAUAGAUGAGCCUAAGUCGGAUUAGCUAGUUGGUGGGGUAAAGGCCUACCAAGGCGACGAUCUGUAGCGGGUCUGAGAGGAUGAUCCGCCACACUGGGACUGAGACACGGCCCAGACUCCUACGGGAGGCAGCAGUGGGGAAUAUUGGACAAUGGGCGCAAGCCUGAUCCAGCCAUGCCGCGUGUGUGAAGAAGGCCUUAUGGUUGUAAAGCACUUUAAGCGAGGAGGAGGCUACUGAAGUUAAUACCUUCAGAUAGUGGACGUUACUCGCAGAAUAAGCACCGGCUAACUCUGUGCCAGCAGCCGCGGUAAUACAGAGGGUGCAAGCGUUAAUCGGAUUUACUGGGCGUAAAGCGCGCGUAGGCGGCUAAUUAAGUCAAAUGUGAAAUCCCCGAGCUUAACUUGGGAAUUGCAUUCGAUACUGGUUAGCUAGAGUGUGGGAGAGGAUGGUAGAAUUCCAGGUGUAGCGGUGAAAUGCGUAGAGAUCUGGAGGAAUACCGAUGGCGAAGGCAGCCAUCUGGCCUAACACUGACGCUGAGGUGCGAAAGCAUGGGGAGCAAACAGGAUUAGAUACCCUGGUAGUCCAUGCCGUAAACGAUGUCUACUAGCCGUUGGGGCCUUUGAGGCUUUAGUGGCGCAGCUAACGCGAUAAGUAGACCGCCUGGGGAGUACGGUCGCAAGACUAAAACUCAAAUGAAUUGACGGGGGCCCGCACAAGCGGUGGAGCAUGUGGUUUAAUUCGAUGCAACGCGAAGAACCUUACCUGGCCUUGACAUAGUAAGAACUUUCC